rnacentral:RNase_P_RNA from 1 species
GGAGUAAAUUGAAUAAUCGCGUCAAUGACGAGGAAAGUCCGUGCACCACAGAGUAAGGAUGCUAGAUAACGUCUAGUAAGGGUGACCUUCAGGCAAGUGCAAAAGAAAGUAUACCGCCAAAAUUUUUGGUAAGGGUGGAACGGUGAGGGUCCAGUAUGGUAGUUCGCUUGAGCUAAUUGGUGACAAUUAGCCUAGAUAGAUGAUUAUUUUUAACAGAACACGGCUUAUAGAUUUACUCUAUUU